rnacentral:misc_RNA from 1 species
AACGCACAUUGCGCCCUUCGGUAUUCCGUUGGGCAUGCCUGUUCGAGCGUCAUUUAAACCUUCAAGCUCUGCUUGGUGUUGGGUGUUUGUUCCGCCUCUGCGCGUGGACUCGCCUCAAAUUCAUUGGCAGCCGGUAUGUUGGCUUCGUGCGCAGCACAUUGCGUCUCGAGUCUGACUAUCUCCUUCCAUUAAGCCUCUUUUUAACUUUGACCUCGGAUCAGGUAGGGAUACCCGCUGAACUUAA